rnacentral:rRNA from 2 species
CCUGAUAUUAGCGGCGGACGGGUGAGUAACACGUGGGCAACCUGCCCUGCAGAUGGGGAUAACUCCGGGAAACCGGGGCUAAUACCGAAUAAUCGGUUCUUCCGCAUGGAAGAACUCUGAAAGACGGUUUCGGCUGUCACUGCAGGAUGGGCCCGCGGCGCAUUAGCUAGUUGGUGGGGUAACGGCCUACCAAGGCGACGAUGCGUAGCCGACCUGAGAGGGUGAUCGGCCACACUGGGACUGAGACACGGCCCAGACUCCUACGGGAGGCAGCAGUAGGGAAUCUUCCACAAUGGACGAAAGUCUGAUGGAGCAACGCCGCGUGAGCGAAGAAGGUUUUCGGAUCGUAAAGCUCUGUUGCGAGGGAAGAACAAGUACGGGAGUAACUGCCCGUACCUUGACGGUACCUCGUCAGAAAGCCACGGCUAACUACGUGCCAGCAGCCGCGGUAAUACGUAGGUGGCAAGCGUUGUCCGGAAUUAUUGGGCGUAAAGCGCGCGCAGGCGGUCCUUUAAGUCUGAUGUGAAAGCCCACGGCUCAACCGUGGAGGGUCAUUGGAAACUGGAGGACUUGAGUACAGAAGAGGAAAGCGGAAUUCCACGUGUAGCGGUGAAAUGCGU